UCCGGGGUCGUCUAAUGGCAGGACAGAGGACUUUGAAUCCUCUAAUAUAGGUCCGAUUCCUAUCCCCGGAA
rnacentral:tRNA from 1 species